rnacentral:rRNA from 1 species
CGAACGGGUGAGUAAUGCGUGACCAACCUGCCCCAUGCUCCAGAAUAGCUCUUGGAAACGGGUGGUAAUGCUGGAUGCUCCAACUUGACGCAUGUCUUGUUGGGAAAGUGUUUAGUGGCAUGGGAUGGGGUCGCGUCCUAUCAGCUUGUAAGCGGGGUAAUGGCCCACCUAGGCUUCGACGGGUAGCCGGCCUGAGAGGGCGGACGGCCACAUUGGGACUGAGAUACGGCCCAGACUCCUACGGGAGGCAGCAGCA